rnacentral:rRNA from 1 species
CAGUGCCGCGGUAAUACGAAGGGGGCUAGCGUUGUUCGGAUUAACUGGGCGUAAAGGGCGCGUAGGCGGGUUUUUAAGUCAGGGGUGAAAUCCCAAGGCUCAACCUUGGAACUGCCUUUGAUACUGGAAAUCUUGAGUCCGGGAGAGGUGAGUGGAACUGCGAGUGUAGAGGUGAAAUCCGUAGAUAUUCGCAAGAACACCAGUGGCGAAGGCGGCUCACUGGCCCGGUACUGACGCUGAGGCGCGAAAGCGUGGGGAGCAAACAGGAUUAGAUACCCCUGUAGUCCCUGUCUCUUAUACA